UGAGGAAUAUUGCGCAAUGGGGGAAACCCUGACGCAGCGACGCCGCGUGGAUGAUGAAGGCCUUCGGGUCGUAAAAUCCUGUCAGAUGGGAAGAAGUGACAGUUACCCAAUACGUAUCUGUUUUGACGGUACCAUCAAAGGAAGCACCGGCUAACUCCGUGCCAGCAGCCGCGGUAAUACGGAGGGUGCGAGCGUUGUUCGGAAUUACUGGGCGUAAAGCGCGCGUAGGCGGUUUGUUAAGUCAGAUGUGAAAGUCCAUGGCUCAACCAUGGAAGUGCAUUUGAUACUGGCAGGCUUGAGUAUUGGAGGGGGUAGUGGAAUUCCCGGUGUAGAGGUGAAAUUCGUAGAUAUCGGGAGGAAUACCGGUGGCGAAGGCGACUACCUGGCCAAAUACUGACGCUGAGGUGCGAAAGCGUGGGGAGCAAACAGGAUUAGAUACCCCCGUAGUCC
rnacentral:rRNA from 1 species